rnacentral:rRNA from 1 species
AUGGAUCAGAAGGGAAACCAUGACACAGAGAUGGCGAUAAUCUCCGAUCAGGAGAUGAUUUACGAGAUGAUCAGGAAACUACUCAAUGAGAUGGAGCCGCUUCCUGGGAGGAUGUCCAACCUGCCGGACAAGCACCGAGAUCAGCCUGUCAGCAGGACUGUAGGCCUCCAACUCCAGAGCUUCGAGUUCAUCCAGGCUGAGCUGAGCAGCACGAUAGAAUUACCGAGCCACCUGCUAUCCUCAGAGCUGGGGCUGGAUUUGGUUGACAACGAGGGCUUCAAGGAGUGGUUGUACGCGUUACGCCGCGUGGCUCCGAGUAUGAAUGCUUACAUCCAUCAAUGUGACCAAGCUGCACACUGUGGAUGUCAUGCACAGAUACACAGAACAGCCGCAGACUUCUUCUUUCGUCUUGCGGGGCUCCCACUGCCACCAUAUCCACGUGGAGUCAGAGAUAUUGAGGGAAUCAUAUCCCACAUCACUGAACGACCCUUCAGGUACAUGAAUCUUCUGAUGGCGGAUGAUGGUCGUCGUUCUACCUCAACGGCGUCUGGUUUUGUGCAGCCAUAUACCUACACAGACGCUGGUGAAAAUGGUCUUGUUGGCAUGGAAGAUACCCUACGAAAUAAGGUGGUAAGGCUGUUCAUGGAUGAUAGCAAUGAUCUUAAAGUAAUCACAAUCGUUGGACCUGCUGGGGUGGGGAAGACGACUGUUGCAAAGGUGAUCUGCGACAAACUCCAAAAGAGGGGACACUGCCACGGCGAGGGUCGAGGUCACCCAAAGGCCUGA